rnacentral:lncRNA from 1 species
UAGCGUCAAAUAUUGCCUCCUGUGCUCAUUCUGCUGUGACCUCUAGAAGCGGUCACAUAUAAAUCCUAUUAUUUUGAAUAUUAGUGUCGUCCCCUCAUGCGCAAAAAAUGGAUAAAUAGCGUCAAAUAUUGCCUCCUGUGCUCAUUCUGAUGUGACCUCUAGAAGCGGUCACAUAUAAAUCCUGUUAUUUAGAAUAUUAAAUUUAUCUGGAAUAUACUUUUAUAGUUAUUCACACAAAUUUAAUGCAGGAUCAGAAGCAUAAUAAAUGUUCGGUAUACUGCGUACGUUGGAUAUAUAAAAAAAUUUUCUCUUGUUUAUAAGUGACUGUGAUUGAUAAAUAGCGUCAAAUAUUGCCUCCUGUGCUCAUUCUGCUGUGACCUCUAGAAGCGGUCACAUAUAAAUCCUAUUAUUUUGAAUAUUAGUGUCGUCCCCUCAUGCGCAAAAAAUGGAUAAAUAGCGUCAAAUAUUGCCUCCUGUGCUCAUUCUGAUGUGACCUCUAGAAGCGGUCACAUAUAAAUCCUGUUAUUUAGAAUAUUAAAUUUAUCUAGAAGAUACUUUUAUAGUUAUUCACACAAAUUUAUUACAGUAUCAGAAGCAUAAUAAAUGUUCGGAAUACUGCGUACGCUGAGUAUAUAAAAAAAUUUUCUCUUGUUUAUAAGUGCGUCUGCGCAUGCGCGAAAAAUGGAUAAAUAGCGUGAAAUAUUGCUUCCUGUGCUCAUUCUGCUGUGACCUCUAGAGGCGACCACAUCGGUAAAUCGUAUUAUUUUAUGUAUUAAAUUUAUCUGGAAUAUACUUUUAUAGUUAUUCACACAAAUUUAUUACAGUAUCAGAAGCAUAAGAAAUGUUCGGAAUACGGCGUACGUUGAGUAUAUAAAAAAAUUUUCUCUUGUUUAUAAGUGCGUCUGCGCAUGCGCGAAAAAUGGAUAAAUAGCGUGAAAUAUUGCUUCCUGUGCUCAUGCUGCUGUGACCUCUAGAGGCGGCCACAUGGUAUCAGAAGUAAACUAGAGAUUCAGAAUACUGUGCAAGUUGAGUUUAUAAAAGAAUUUUCUCUGGUUUAUAAGUGUCGUCCCCUCAUGCGCAAAAAAUGGAUAAAUAGCGUCAAAUAUUGCCUCCUGUUCUCCUUCUGCUGUGACCUCUAGAGGCGGCCACAUCGUAUCAGAAGCAUAAUAAAUGUUCAGAAUACUGUGCAAGUUGAGUUUAUAAAAAAAUUUUCUCUGGUUUCUAAGUGUCGUCUGCGCAUGCAAGAAGAAAAUGUAUGAAGAGUAUGUAAUAUUGGUUCCUGCGCUCAUUCUGAAUUGACCUCUGGAAGCGGUCAAAUCUGUAAACCCAAUUAUUUUAAAUAUUAAAUUUAUCUGGAAUAUUCUUUUAUAUUUAUUCACACAAAUUUAAUACAGUAUCAGAAGCAUAAUUAAUGUUCAGAAUACUGCGUACGUUGAGUAUAUAAAAAAAAUGUUCUCUUGUUUAUAAGUUUCGUCUGUGCAUGCGCCAAAAAAGGGAUAACUAGGGUGAAAUAUUGGUUCCUGCGCUCAUUCUGCUCUGACCUCUAAAAGCGACCACAUCGGUAAAUCGUAUUAUUUUAUGUAUUAAAUUUAUCUGGAAUAUACUUUUAUAGUUAUUCACACAAAUUUAUUACAGUAUCAGAAGCAUAAUAAAUGUUCGGAAUACUGCGUACGUUGAGUAUAUAAAAAAAUUUUCUCUUGUUUAUAAGUGCGUCUGCGCAUGCGCGAAAAAUGGAUAAAUAGCGUGAAAUAUUGCUUCCUGUGCUCAUUCUGC